UCCGNAUUUAUUGGGCGUAAAGCGAGCGCAGGCGNUUUGAUAAGUCUGAAGUUAAAGGCUGUGGCUCAACCAUAGUUCGCUUUGGAAACUGUCAAACUUGAGUGCAGAAGGGGAGAGUGGAAUUCCAUGUGUAGCGGUGAAAUGCGUAGAUAUAUGGAGGAACACCGGUGGCGAAAGCGGCUCUCUGGUCUGUAACUGACGCUGAGGCUCGAAAGCGUGGGGAGCGAACAGGAUUAGAUACCCUGGUAGUNCACGCCGUAAACGAUGAGUGCUAGGUGUUGGGUCCUUUCCGGGAUUCAGUGCCGCAGCUAACGCAUUAAGCACUCCGCCUGGGGAGUACGACCGCAAGGUUGAAACUCAAAGGAAUUGACGGGGGCCCGCACAAGCGGUGGAGCAUGUGGUUUAAUUCGAAGCAACGCGAAGAACCUUACCAGGUCUUGACAUCCCGAUGCUAUUUCUAGAGAUAGGAAGUUACUUCGGUACAUCGGUGACAGGUGGUGCAUGGUUGUCGUCAGCUCGUGUCGUGAGAUGUNNNNNNAANUCCCGCAACGAGCGCAACCCCUAUUGUUAGUUGCCAUCAUUCAGUUGGGCACUCUAGCGAGACUGCCGGUAAUAAACCGGAGGAAGGUGGGGAUGACGUCAAAUCAUCAUGCCCCUUAUGACCUGGGCUACACACGUGCUACAAUGGUUGGUACAACGAGUUGCGUGUCGGUGACGGCGAGCUAAUCUCUUAAAGCCAAUCUCAGUUCGGAUUGUAGGCUGCAACUCGCCUACAUGAAGUCGGAAUCGCUAGUAAUCGCGGAUCAGCACGCCGCGGUGAAUACGUUCCCGGNC
rnacentral:rRNA from 1 species